rnacentral:rRNA from 1 species
UACGAAGGGGCUAGCGUUGCUCGGAAUUACUGGGCGUAAAGCGCACGUAGGCAGAUUGUUAAGUCGGGGGUGAAAUCCUGGAGCUCAACUCCAGAACUGCCUUCGAUACUGGCGAUCUCGAGUUCGGAGAGGUGAGUGGAACUGCGAGUGUAGAGGUGAAAUUCGUAGAUAUUCGCAAGAACACCAGUGGCGAAGGCGGCUCACUGGCCCGAUACUGACGCUGAGGUGCGAAAGCGUGGGGAGCAAACAGG